CUAUUGAUAAAGGGUGAAAUCAAUUUUUUGAUUUAGAGUUGGCUAAGAAAUGUAAGUUUAAUUUGAAGCUAUUAAGAUAAGGAGAUGAACCAGGAUUAGAUACCCUGUUACACCUUAUUUGAAUUGAAAACACCAGGGUACUAAACAGUUAUUAUCUUGAAACUCAAAGGAUUUGGCGGUAAUUUAGUCUAUUUAGAGGAACCUGUCCUGUAAUCGAUAGUCCACGCAAUAUCUUGCUUUAUUUAGUAGUAAUCAGUUUGUAUACCGUCAUUAUUAGGUAACUUUAAUAAAAUUUAUUCAGUUACUGGAAUAGUAUAGCUAAUAUAUUAGAUCAAGGUGCAGCUUAUAAUAAAGAAGAGAUGGGUUACAAUAUUACAUGUAUAUAACGGAUCAAUUAAUGAAAUAUAAUUGUAAAGGAGGAUUUAAGAGUAAAAAAGUUUUAACAUGACUUAUUGACUAUAGCCCUAGAUUAUGUACACAUCGCCCGUCGCUCUCGUUAAUUAAAGC
rnacentral:rRNA from 1 species